rnacentral:rRNA from 1 species
AGCAGCCGCGGUAAUUCCAGCUCCAAUAGCGUAUAUUAAAGUUGUUGCAGUUAAAAGCUCGUAGUUGAAUUUUGGAUUCUUCCAAUUGGUCCAUCUUUUAGAUGAGUACUGGUUGUGUGGGGUCUAUCCGCCUGGUGAUACGUAAUGUCCUUUAUUGGAUGUUUCGGGUAGUCAGGACCUUUACCUUGAAAAAAUUAGAGUGUUUAAAGCAGGCUUAUGCCGGAAUACAUUAGCAUGGAAUAAUAGAAUAGGACGAAGUUGUUUUAUUUUGUUGGUUUCUAGGACAACCGUAAUGAUUAAUAGGGAUAGUUGGGGGCAUUAGUAUUCAAUUGUCAGAGGUGAAAUUCUUGGAUUUAUUGAAGACUAACUACUGCGAAAGCAUUUGCCAAGGAUGUUUUCAUUAAUCAAGAACGAAAGUUAGGGGAUCGAAGACGAUCAGAUACCGUCGUAGUCUUAACCAUAAACUAUGCCGACUAGGGAUCGGGCGAUGUUGUUUCCAUGACUCGCUCAGCACCUUAUG